CAUCUGUUCACUUAUCUUUUUUUGCUAGAAGACAGUAGUUCCCUAGUCUUUUUCGUUCUUCUCAUUAUUGUUAUGUCGGAAAAUAACAUUUGGGAUCUGAUCACAUCGAUUAAGUCAAAUGAUGCUUCGUACAAAACAUCUAUGAGUGAUAAAAGAAUAUGUCCAGUUUGAAAAUUGUGCUGGAGCUCCUUAUACUAUUGUAGACUAGAGCAUGUGUGUCAGCUAGCACUAGUUAGUUGUGCUUGUUGUCAUGUUGGAAACAAGGUCCGUUCGUGGAAUGCCGGAACACUCUUGGAAUAACUACGGGGCAAAAAUUUCUCCUCAUCAAAUGGCGACCCCCAUCAGACAUGG